rnacentral:lncRNA from 1 species
GAGAACACAAUAUCUAAAUAGUUUAUGAGUACAGACAUAUCAAAAUGUUCAAGUUAAUAUAAUAUUAUCAUACUCCAAAAUCACACAAAGAGAAACCAAAAUAAUAUACAUGAAAUUAAACUGAAAAAUACAAGAAUUAAACAAAGCUAAACAUUAAAAAUGAAAAAGACACAGAGAUUAAAAAGACAAGGUAAAAGAAAGAUCUACAUUAUUGAUAAAUUAAGAGGAGAAAGAAGAAAAGUUUGGUGUGGUGGUAGAAGAAGAGAAGGCGAUAAGGAAAAGGAAGAGCAAGAUGAAGAGGGGGAGGAAGAGUAGCAUGAGCGGCGGUGGUGGAAGAGGAGGAAGCACCAAUGGUAGCACAAGAAUGGAGAGGGUCACAACCACCAAUAUCAUUGCUGAGUACCUUAUCAUCAAUGCACAAAUGCUCUCGUUCUUGUUAUUGUCACUGCCACCAUUGCCAUUAUCAUCCAUCACCAUGUAAUAAUUUUUUUUUGUGCGAAGAUUUCUACCUAUAUCAUCAUGAGAAGACAUCAUCAUGUUCAUUGCCUCAUCACAUCAAUUGCAAACAAGGAAUUAAGAGUGUGAAGUGAGUACUGAGAGAAAGACAGAGAGAAAGAGAGAUUUAUAAGAGAAGAAAUUAAAUAAUGAAAAAGGGAGAAGGGGUUAUGGGAUUAUAUUGGAGUGAGAUAGGGACAAAGAGAUUGAGGAGGGGUAAGGGAGAGAGAAAC